UCAAGUAAUUAAGUGCAUGUGGUGGAUGCCUUGGCAGUCAGAGGCGAUGAAAGACGUGAUAGCCUGCGAAAAGCUCCGGGGAGGCGGCAAAUAUCCUUUGAUCCGGAGAUUUCUGAAUGGGGGAACCCACCCGCUAUAAGGCGGGUAUCAUAAACUGAAUACAUAGGUUUAUGAAGCGAACGAGGGGAAGUGAAACAUCUCAGUACCCUUAGGAAAAGAAAUCAAUUGAGAUUCCCUCAGUAGCGGCGAGCGAACGGGGAUCAG
rnacentral:rRNA from 15 species